GUGUGCCUGGUGACUAAGCUGUGCAAAAGCUCCGUGAACCCUUCAAAAGAGCAACUCAGAUGUCAAUCGCUGACUUUACAAGAGGUGGCAGACUCUCAUCGGUGGACUUUUGCUUCAUGUGUCAUGGAAACUGGGCUGGGUGGAGAUCAACAGCAGUUUAAGAUCUAAUGUUUUGGCAUGGCUUCCUGCUUCAGUGCUGUUCGUGGGUAUAAUCUACGCAGGGUCCAGAGCUUUGUCCAGACUGGCUGUUCCUGUGUUUUUCAUUUUGCAUAAUGUAGCUGAAGUUCUCAUCUGCGGGUACCAGAAGUGUGUCAGGAAAGAGAAAACAUCGCCCACAAAGAUCUGCAGUGCCCUCUUCCUUGUGGCUGCUGCAGGGUGCCUUCCCUUUCAGGAUGCACAGUUUGACCCAGAUGGAUAUUUUUGGGCUGUAGUUCACUUAUUUUGUGUAGGAGCUUACAAAAUACUUCGGAAAUCCCAGAAGCCCAGCGUGUUAAGGAUGCCAGCUCUGGAAGCCAGUGCAUCCAGUGGUCCAAGACAGUCGAUAGAGUUGACAGCUGACAUUCCUGUGAAAGUAUCCAACUCACAGGUGGGAAGCAGCUGAUCCAG
rnacentral:lncRNA from 1 species